UACGGGGGGGGCAAGCGUUGUUCGGAAUUACUGGGCGUAAAGGGCUCGUAGGUGGCCAACUAAGUCAGACGUGAAAUCCCUCGGCUUAACCGGGGAACUGCGUCUGAUACUGGAUGGCUUGAGUUUGGGAGAGGGAUGCGGAAUUCCAGGUGUAGCGGUGAAAUGCGUAGAUAUCUGGAGGAACACCGGUGGCGAAGGCGGCAUCCUGGACCAAUACUGACACUGAGGAGCGAAAGCCAGGGGAGCGAACGGG
rnacentral:rRNA from 1 species